GUAGGUGGCAAGCGUUGUCCGGAAUUAUUGGGCGUAAAGCGCGCGCAGGCGGUUCUUUAAGUCUGAUGUGAAAGCCCACGGCUCAACCGUGGAGGGUCAUUGGAAACUGGAGAACUUGAGUACAGAAGAGGAAAGCGGAAUUCCACGUGUAGCGGUGAAAUGCGUAGAGAUGUGGAGGAACACCAGUGGCGAAGGCGGCUUUCUGGUCUGUAACUGACGCUGAGGCGCGAAAGCGUGGGGAGCAAACAGGAUUAGAUACCCUGGUAGUCCACGCCGUAAACGAUGAGUGCUAAGUGUUAGGGGGGUUUCCGCCCCCCUUAGUGCUGCAGCUAACGCAUUAAGCACUCCGCCCUGGGAGUACGACCGCAAGGUUG
rnacentral:rRNA from 1 species